rnacentral:rRNA from 1 species
UUGACGGGACCCGCACAAGCAGCGGAGCGUGUGGUUUAAUUCGUUGACUACACGAAGAACCUUACCUGGGUUUGACAUAUAAGUGUAGGGAACUGAAAAGGGACCGACCUCGGGAGCUUGCACAGGUGCUGCAUGGCUGUCGUCAGCUCGUGUCGUGAGAUGUUCGGUUAAGUCCGCUAACGAGCGCAACCCUCGCUGUGUGUUACAAGUGUCACACGGUACUGCCGGUCUUAAAGCCGGAGGAAGGUGGGGAUGACGUCAAGUCAGCAUGGCCUUUAUGUCCUGGGCUACACACACGCUACAAUGGCCAACACAAUAGGUUGCUAAGCCGCGAGGUGGAGCCAAUCCUCAAAGUUGGUCUCAGUUCAGAUUGCAGGCUGCAACCCGCCUGCAUGAAGAUGGAGUUGCUAGUAACCGCAGGUCAGCUAUACUGCGGUGAAUACGUUCCCGGGGCUU